rnacentral:sRNA from 12 species
UAUAAAGGGUGACUGCCAGGCUUUCGGUACGAAUGAGGAUUUUCCUGUCGUCAACACAUAUUCCUGUGGGAUAUGGAACCGUUACGGAAUAGGCAAACGACCUAUUCCCUAAUGCAGUUCCCU